AAAGGGUGAUAGCCCCGUAACCGACACAUCAUAAUCAGUGAAAACGAGUAGGGCGGGACACGUGAUAUCCUGUCUGAAUAUGGGGGGACCAUCCUCCAAGGCUAAAUACUACUGACUGACCGAUAGUGAACCAGUACCGUGAGGGAAAGGCGAAAAGAACCCCUGUGAGGGGAGUGAAAUAGAACCUGAAACCGUGUACGUACAAGCAGUAGGAGCACCUUCGUGGUGUGACUGCGUACCUUUUGUAUAAUGGGUCAGCGACUUAAUUUUAGUAGCAAGGUUAACCGUUUAGGGGAGCCGUAGGGAAACCGAGUCUUAACUGGGCGUACAGUUGCUAGGAUUAGACCCGAAACCAGGUGAUCUAGCCAUGGGCAGGUUGAAGGUUGAGUAACAUCAACUGGAGGACCGAACCGACUAAUGUUGAAAAAUUAGCGGAUGACUUGUGGCUAGGGGUGAAAGGCCAAUCAAACCUGGAGAUAGCUGGUUCUCCCCGAAAGCUAUUUAGGUAGCGCCUCGGACGAAUACUACUGGGGGUAGAGCACUGUUAAGGCUAGGGGGUCAUCCCGACUUACCAACCCUUUGCAAACUCCGAAUACCAGUAAGUACUAUCCGGGAGACACACGGCGGGUGCUAACGUCCGUCGUGGAGAGGGAAACAACCCAGACCGCCAGCUAAGGUCCCAAAGUAUAGCUAAGUGGGAAACGAUGUGGGAAGGCUCAGACAGCCAGGAUGUUGGCUUAGAAGCAGCCAUCAUUUAAAGAAAGCGUAAUAGCUCACUGGUCGAGUCGGCCUGCGCGGAAGAUGUAACGGGGCUAAGCUAUACACCGAAGCUGCGGCUACGUACCUUAGGGUAUGUGGGGUAGGGGAGCGUUCUGUAAGCCG
rnacentral:rRNA from 1 species